rnacentral:rRNA from 1 species
UACGUAGGGUGCAAGCGUUGUCCGGAAUUACUGGGCGUAAAGCGCACGUAGGCGGCUUUGUAAGUUAGAGGUGAAAGCCCGGGGCUCAACCCCGGAAUUGCCUUUAAGACUGCAUCGCUUGAAUCCGGGAGAGGUGAGUGGAAUUCCGAGUGUAGAGGUGAAAUUCGUAGAUAUUCGGAGGAACACCAGUGGCGAAGGCGGCUCACUGGUCCCGUACUGACGCUGAGGUGCGAAAGCGUGGGGAGCAAACAGG